GACGAACGCUGGCGGCGUGCUUAACACAUGCAAGUCGAACGGAAAGACCCUGCUUUCAGUGUUCUCAAGUUGCCAACGGAUGAGUAACACGUGGGUGAUCUGCCCCUUACUUUGGGAUAAGCCUGUUAAACUGGGUCUAAUACUGAAUAGGACCAUUCUGUAGGUGGUGGGUUCGAAAGAUUAGGUUCGUUAUGGUAUGAGCUCGCGGCCUAUCAGCUUGUUGGUAGGUUAAUGGCCUACCAAGGCGUCGACGGGUAGCCGGCCUGAGAGGGUGGAAGGCACCAUUGGGACUCAGACAGGGGCCAGAAUCAUACGGGAGGCAGCAGUGGGGAAUAUUGCACAAUGGGAGCAAGCCUGAUGUAGCGAAGGCGUGUGGGGGAUGAAGGCCUUCGGGUUGUAAACUCCUUUUAGCUAUGAAGAAGCGCUUGUCGUGACGGUAGUGGUAGAAGAAGCCACGGCUAACUACGUG
rnacentral:rRNA from 1 species